CUCUUUGAACAGGGAGAGAUGAAAAAGAGGUUCUGUGGAACAUCAGGAGCGUCUGCUUAGGGGAUUUUAUGACUACAGGUCUUUUUUCAACCCUUGUAAACAACUCUGAGGAAAUGCAGCAUCCAAAACACCCCGAGGGAGCUGAGGAGACCAGGCAGGAGGUUGGCUCGGACUCCCUCACAAGGGAAACCAGAAAGUGAGCUCCCAUCCCUGCAGGAGGCUGUCCCCCCACAGCUCUGAUCCAAGGAUCAGGAAAGA